rnacentral:sRNA from 1 species
AUGUACACGAAUUAGGUCAGGUUAUAUACUCCGUACUUGUCACUCCGCCUAAAAUCCAACACCGAUCAGCGAUCAGGCAGGCGGCAGGCCUCCCUCCGUCAGCCGGUUGCUUCAAAGGGCAGAUUUGCUUUUGGCCAACGGCGAGAUAGUAAGUCCUAGGAUGAAGCCCUGAUUGGCGUGAUUAAUUACUAGCUUAUCCAAGGCCUGAUUGUCGCGGAGCCUGAUGUUCUCCAGCCUAGAAGACGAGCAUCUUCAGAAAGGAUAACGGAUCAGACAAAAGAGAGUGCCACUGAACCCUAGCUCUACUGGGGACGCUCCCUGUACCAUUGCCAUCUUAAGAUCGCGUGAGACGGUGGUGGGAGACGGCGAUUGGCCGCAUGAACAGGAAGCAGGCGCCGGUGAAUCCAGCCGCCAAAGAGGACUAAUUGCACCGCCUUGGCUCAUCUCUCCCUCACCUGAAUCAUGCACACGACAGCGCCAAAUUAAAGAUAGAGAUUGAACCUAAGAAUAGAUUAUUAAAAUGUCAAUUACAUUUUUUUAGCAAAUUCCUAUUAUAUCCUUGUAAAUACUUACAGUAUAUACUGCCAGUAUAUUGUACCG